rnacentral:rRNA from 1 species
UGGGGAAUAUUGCACAAUGGGCGAAAGCCUGAUGCAGCAACGCCGCGUGAGGGACGACGGCCUUCGGGUUGUAAACCUCUUUUAGCAAGGAAGAAGCGAAAGUGACGGUACUUGCAGAAAAAGCGCCGGCUAACUACGUGCCAGCAGCCGCGGUAAUACGUAGGGCGCAAGCGUUAUCCGGAAUUAUUGGGCGUAAAGAGCUCGUAGGCGGUUUGUCGCGUCUGCUGUGAAAACCCGAGGCUCAACCUCGGGCCUGCAGUGGGUACGGGCAGACUAGAGUGCGGUAGGGGAGAUUGGAACUCCUGGUGUAGCGGUGGAAUGCGCAGAUAUCAGGAAGAACACCGAUGGCGAAGGCAGAUCUNUGGGCCGUAACUGACGCUGAGGAGCGAAAGGGUGGGGAGCAAACAGGUUUAGAUGACCCUGGUAGUCCACCCCGUAAACGUUGGGAACUAGUUGUGGGUCCAUUCCACGGAUUCCGUGACGCAGCUAACGCAUUAAGUU